UUGGAUUUUAUCAAGCACAUGUUUGGGAGAAACCUAAUCCGAAUGCACUGAAAGAGUUCUAAUUAGACAUUUCAUGGGCCUCUGAGGCUCCCUGAGGAAAGUAAGAGAGAAGGUCAAAACACAUGUCCCUCUUGGAAUGGGGGCCUGAGUCCAUGCUGCAGGGAGCUGGCUGUGGAGAGUGAAGCCCUUUCAGAGGUCAGCACCCACUGACCUGAGCCACUGAGGAUUCUGCAAUGGACUAACAGAGUGGCCAUGGUAGCAGGAAUGGAAGCUUUGUAUGGACCCAAUGGGCUCCCUUCUUCAAGGAUUGUGUAGCUAGUGCCACCAAUAAAGGCCAAUCAACCACCAGCAGUGAUCAACACAGAGCCCGCAGUAUGACACCGUCCUUGGAAAGACCACCAAGAUACUUUGUGGCAUAUUCAUUAUUUUAGAUCUUUUCCACUCUGGAGAGGGUAAUGAUUUACCUUUGAAGUGACUAUUCCUGGUGUGGAUUUAUCCACAGUGCCUUCAACCAUCUGAGGGCUUAUAGAAUGUCUAGUCUAUUGGCAUCAGAUCCUAUACAACACUGCCUCAGACCAACAUGCAUAAUUUAUGGCAAAGGAGAUGACAAAUGGACUCAAUCAUAGGCUUCACUGAUUUUAUCACGUACACCAUCAUCCUGAAAUUUCUAGAUCUCCCCACUACUUCUUAAUUUGGAUGAAGAAUUACCCUAUAGGACAGGGGUCAGCAAACUGUGACCUGUGCCUUGAAUCCAGUCUGCUGCUUGUUUUGGUAGAUAAAGUUUGAUUGGAACACAGUCAUGCCCAUUUAUUUAUGUAUUGUAUAUAUUUGCUUUCACAGUAUAAUGUCAGAAUUGAGAAGUUAUGAAAGAAACUGCAUGGACUGCAAAUUUACUAAAAGCGAUUCUCCUGCCUCAGCCUCCAGAGUAGCUGGGAUUACAAGAGUGCACCAUCACACCAGCUAAUUUUUGUAUGUUUAGUAGAGAUGGGGAUUCACCAUGUUGGUCAGUCUGGUCUCAAACUCUUGGCCUCAGGUGAUCCACCCACGUCGGCCUCUCAAAGUGCUGUGAUUACAGGUGUGAGCCACCCUGCAUGGCCAGCAUCUGUCUUUUACUUGAGCAUAGGUCAGAUUUUUCAGGUCUUAGUAUGUCUAGUAAUUUGGAUUUUGCCUGGACAUUUUGUGUAUUAUACUGUGAAGCUCUGGGUCUUAUUAAAAUCCUCUGGAG
rnacentral:lncRNA from 10 species